rnacentral:misc_RNA from 1 species
AACUUUCAACAACGCAUCACUUGGUUCUGGCAUCGAUGAAGAACGCAGCGAAAUGCGAUAAGUAAUGUGAAUUGCAGAAUUCAGUGAAUCAUCGAAUCUUUGAACGCACAUUGCGCCCUGUGGUAUUCCGCAGGGCAUGCCUGUUCGAGCGUCAGUACAACACUCAAGCUCUGCUUGGUCUUGAGCCCAGCGGGUCACACCGCGGGUUUUAAAAUCAGUGGCGGCGCCAUCAGGCUCUCAGCGUAGUAAUACUCCUCGCUGUUGAGUCCUGGUGGCUGCUUGCCAGCAACCCCCAACUUCUAAGUUUGACCUCGGAUCAGGUAGGGAUACCCGCUGAACUUAAGCAUAUCAAUAAGCGGAGGCU